AUGGAGCCCGCGGCCCCCUCCGCGUCCUCGGCCUCGGCGGCCGCGUCCUCGGCGGGGAGGCGGAGGGCGGCGCCGGAGGCCGCGGAGCUGAGGGUGCGGCGCAGGACGCUCGAGACCGUGCUCGAGCAGUGCCAGCGCGCGCUCGAGCUCAUGCGGGACGCCGAGGGGGAGGACGGGGAGGAAGGGGAGGGGGAGCGGGAUCCGGAGGACGAGGGGGAGGGCCGGGCUGGCCGAGACGUCAGCGACGGGGAGGGGCAGCCUCCGACGCCGGAGCCGUCGGAGGCCGACUACGAGACGGACGAGCUGUGUAAUCUUCUCAAAUCGAGGGUCGAAUCACCUGAAUUUCUAGAAAAGCUUGAUAACAUUCAGAAGUCAGUAUACCAACAUGGUGCAGAUGAAACCAUAUCAUGGGAUAUCGUAAGCGCAGCAGAUAUAUGGGAUGAUAAGAGUAUGAAUGUCAGUGAUGAUUCAGAGGAUGGAUAUGUUCUAGUUAAGCAAGAGGAUAUAGUUGAUGGGAUUGCAUGCUUCAUGGCUGCAUACCUACUAUCGCUGAAAGAAACUAAGGAAUUGACGCCCAAUCAACUUCAAGAAGCCCUUAGCAAGACUUUUUCAACUAAAAAGAGGAAAGGCAAACUUCAGAAGGCAUGGGCUGGAACACAAGUUAUUUAUAAUGUAGCAUCAUGGAGUGCGACAGCUAUUGGUAUCUACCAGAAUCCGGCGAUUCUAAAAGCAGCAACAGCGGCCUUCUGGACGUCCUGCCGCGUGGUGUCCAAGUUCCUGUGA
rnacentral:rRNA from 1 species